rnacentral:rRNA from 1 species
UACGAAGGGGGCUAGCGUUGUUCGGAUUUACUGGGCGUAAAGCGUGCGCAGGCGGUUUUGUAAGUCAGAUGUGAAAUCCCCGGGCUCAACCUGGGAACUGCGUUUGAAACUACAAGGCUAGAGUGUAGCAGAGGGGGGUGGAAUUCCACGUGUAGCAGUGAAAUGCGUAGAGAUGUGGAGGAACACCGAUGGCGAAGGCAGCCCCCUGGGUUAACACUGACGCUCAGGCACGAAAGCGUGGGGAGCAAACAGG